rnacentral:rRNA from 1 species
GUCGAGAAUAAUUCACAAUGGACGAAAGUCUGAUGGUGCAACGCCGCGUGGAGGAUGAAGGUCUUCGGAUUGUAAACUCCUGUCAUCGGGGAGUAAGACCUGGCGGUAAAUAGCCGACAGGGUUGAUAGUACCCGAAGAGGAAGGGACGGCUAACUUCGUGCCAGCAGCCGCGGUAAUACGAAGGUCCCAAGCGUUGUUCGGAAUCACUGGGCGUAAAGGGAGCGUAGGCGGCGUGGUAAGUCAGAUGUGAAAUCCCGGGGCUCAACCCCGGAACUGCAUCCGAUACUGCCAUGCUUGAGGGUUGGAGAGGUAGCUGGAAUUCUCGGUGUAGCAGUGAAAUGCGUGGAUAUCGAGAGGAACACUCGUGGCGAAGGCGAGCUACUGGACAACAUCUGACGCUGAGGCUCGAAGGCCAGGGGAGCAAAAGGGAUUAGAUACCCUAGUAGUCC